rnacentral:rRNA from 1 species
GGAAUUUCCGGUGGAGCGGUGAAAUGCGUUGAUAUCGGAAGGAACGCCGAAAGCGAAAGCAGCUAACUACAGAAUACUUGACGAUGAGGGACGACAGUUCGGGUAGCAAACAGGAUUAGAUACACUGGUAGUCCGAACCGUAAAUUAUGCUUGCUAGAUGUUUUUAUCAGUUUACUGGUAGGAGUGUCGUAAUCUAACGAGUUAAGCAAGCCGCCUGGGUAGUAUAUUCGCAAGAAUGAAACUCAAAGGGAUAGGCGGGGGAACACACAAGCAGUGGAUUAUCUAGAUUAAUUGGAUACUAAGCCAAGAAUCUUACCUAGGAUUGACAUGUAUUGUGUCUGCGGUGAAAGUCGCAUAUCCGUAGCAAUACGGAGCUUUACACAGAUGGUGCAUGGUCGUCGUCAGCUCGUGCCGCAAGGUGUCUAGUUAAGUCUGGAAACGAGUGCAACCCUCGUGUUUAGUUAGUAUGUCUAAACAGACUGCUCGGGUAACCGAGAGGAAGGAGAGGAUGACGUCAGAUCCUCAUGCCUCUUACACCUAGGGCCUCAUAGAUAAUACAAUGGGUAGGUACAGCGAGAAGCGAUACCGCGAGGUGGAGCAAAUCUUUAAAACUACCCCUAGUUCGGAUUGUAGUCUGGAACUCGACUACAUGAAGUUGGAAUUGCUAGUAAUGGCAGAUCAGCCAUGCUGCCGUGAAUACGUCCCUGUUCCUUGCACUCACCGCCCGUCAAACCAUGGGAGCUGAGGCUCUUUGAAGACUCAUUAUAUGGGUUAAGGAGGAAAUCAGUGACUGGGGUUAAGUCGUAACAAGGCAUCCCUACCGGAAGGUGGGGAUA